GAAAUUGUGCACUCGGGGAGCUUGGAUUUUAAGGCAGUAGCUUGCCGACGCUCCCAGCUGAAUAAAGCCCUUCCUUCUACAACUCGGUGUCUGAGAGGUUUUGUCUGCGGCUCGUCCUGCUACACUAAUACUAGCAAUUGUGUUAUGAAAUUCAUGCUCUCGGAGGAGGUGGACACAGAGCACAUAUGUCUUCUCUUAUACACAUAAAUGAGAAGACUUUCUAAAGGCAGAUGAUUGGCCAGAGUUUCUGAGUUAUGAGAGCUACUUCAGAGGUUUCUUUGAGAAAAAGUCACCAUUGGCAGCACAUUUUAGUGACACAGAAUGGAUCACAAAACUUGCUUAUUUGUGUGAUAUUUUCAACCUGCUCAACGAACUCAAUCUGUCACUUCAGGGGAGAACGACAACUGUGUUCAAGCCAGCAAAUAAAGUGGCUGCAUUCAAUGGCAAAUUGAAAUUAUGAAGGUGAUGGGCGAACAUUUGAAUUUUUGACACGUUCAAACAUUAGCAGAUAGUUUGAAAGAGACAGGGCUUUCUUUCUCCCAGCUGGUGCAUAAUCACCUAUCUCAGCUUUCAAAAGAGUUUGAGCAUUACUUCCAACCACAAAAGACCCCCGAACUGGGAAGGAAUGGGACCAUUACCCAUUUAUGAGUAAGCCAGGUGAAUCAACUUCGUCUGUUCUGCCAGAGGAUCAACUGCUCGCGAUCACAAAUAAUGGUGGCCUUAAAAGUAUGUUUGAGACAAAGUUAAAUCUCCAUAUGUUCUGGAUUAAAGUCAAGGGGUAAUAUCCAGAGAUUGUCACAAAAGCACUGAAAAGCCUACCUCCAUUUCCAACAUCCUUUCUUUGUGAAUCAGGGAUUUUUGCAGUGACAGCAACCAAACCGAGAUUACAGAAUAGACUGGACAUAAGCAAAACACUUAGGGUGUGGCUGUCUCCCAUGACCCCCAGAUGGGACCAUCUAGUUGCAGGAAAACAAGCUCAGCGCUCCCACUGAUUUUCUACAUUAUGCCACCAUUUCUUCUUGAAUCUCUCUGGGGAUGAGGAUGCCUACGAUGUUCUGAUGCAGUGUAUUCUAUUAUUGGAAGCCCUGGGCUCAGCCAGAGUUCAGCAGAGAAUGGGUGACCAGCAGCAGAGAGGAGCUUCCCACUCCAGGGAUGACCUGCCUGCAGAGAGGAGCCACCCACCACAUGGCUUCCUGCUCUCUGCUGAGGGCUGAACACUCAUCGUGACACUGUGGCUGCAGGAAGGAGAUACCUACAGUGGGUCUCUGAGCUGGUCUACUGCUCAAUAAAGCUCUUCUUGGUUUUGCUCAUCCUCCACUUGUCUGCGUGCCUCAUUGUUCCUGGUCACAGGACAAGAACUUGGACCGCCGAAUGGCAAGUCUAGAAGACCUGUAAUACAAACUGGUCUGAAACAUGACCCUUGCUCACCACAUGGUGGGUGAAGAGAGGGAGAGAAGAGGUUUAGCCCUUCAAGCCAGGGCUGUGGCUCUCUCUUUAAGGCCCUGUGGUUCCUGGCAACUCUGAGCUUAGGGACACCACUGCAUUUCCUGCUGCCAGCUGAGGAAGCUGCUUGCAGUGCACCUGGUCCAGCCACAGCCUUGCAGAGCUGCCCACCCGACUGUAGCAGCUAGCAUGCCUGACCAUGUGCAGUGACUGGAUCCCAUGCUUACUCGCUCACACACCCCUUACCCCUCCACGCCUGGCUCAUCCUUGGCAGGCGUGGGAUCCAGGCCCACUGCAUGAGCCAAGUGCAGCCUGGCAGGCUGAAUGGAUGGAAUGAGCUGGGCAGGCCCAAGCAAAAGUCAAGCAAAGGUGCCACUGGCCACAGAGGUUUCUGACCAGAAAAGCAACACUUCAAAGAUCCUGUAACAUUUGGAGUGUUUCCACUUUGGGGCAAUAAUAAAUAAAACUUCCAGUAAUCUCCAUUUUAUUUUUUUUGUCUUUGGUGAAUGUGUAGACUCCAUGCUCAUGGAAAUGCAUCUCCAAGUAGAAAUGGUGGGUCGUAAGAGUGGCAUAAUAUCAGCUUUAAUAGAUAUUACCAAUAAUUUUCUAAUAUGUUUUUAUCAAUAUAUCCUCUUGCCAGCAAUGUUUGAGAGUUCCAAUUGCUCUACACACUAACCAACACUUAGUAUUGUUAGUUUAUUUAAGAAAAAAGUUUUAGUCAUUCUGAUAAAUACAUGUUGGUAUCUCAUUAUGAUUUAAAUUUGCAUUUCCCUAGUGAAUAGUACUUUUUCAUAUACCUACUUGUUACUAAAAUAUCUUAUUUUCUGAAAUACUUACUUAGGACCUUCACCUAUUUUUGAAAAUUUGAUAUUUUAAUACUUAAUGUUUUGAAGAAGCUCUUUAUAUGGAAUUAGAAUAAGUACUUUUCAGAUAUUCAUAUUACAAUGUCUUUUCCAGUCUGUGACUUGCCUUUUCAUUCUUUU
rnacentral:lncRNA from 10 species